rnacentral:lncRNA from 1 species
GAUCUUAAACAACAUUGAAUGAGCACUACUCAGCCAAGUAAAGGGGUUGUUUAAAUAGUGGAAAAUUUUAAGGAAAUACUGCUGUAAAGGUGCGGCAAAAACAAAAAAAAUACAACAGCCCAAAAGUGAUGCACAAUGGGACGGCACACCACCACAAACAGCGACAAGAAAAGCUGAUUUGGGGUGGCUCAAUGAGGGAUUUUUUUACAGCAAAGGGACAAUUUUGGAAAUCAAGUUAGCAGCAAUGAGGGGCGGCUUUGGUGAUCAAAGUAGUAGAAUUAAUGGUUGGAAAAAUGGCAGCAAAACACCAAAAAAUAUUAUAUCAAAGGGAUGACUUAACUAUGGUGGAAAUACACUCUUGUUUGGACAGCACAAUGAAGAAAAGUGAAGAUGAAAAAUGAAAGACUUAGAGAGAAAAGGAGGGUUGGACGGAAAGGGAGGAGAAAUAAAAU